AUGACCACGUGGUUUAUGGACAGCCCCUAUAGGCGGUGUGCAGGACUGCCAUAUUGUAGGUUCCUCGUUAUAGAAAAAGCAAGGCGUUGGAUGUUAAAAUACAACAAUUGUUGUAUGAAGUGCCAAAAAGGAGAGUGGGCUCAUUAUGUACUUUGACAAAUACGCAGUCUACUUCAAGCGCAUAGAAUCUGCUUCCAACAAAAUAUUCAUAUACCAGCAUCCAAAAGAUCGCAAUAUAUAUUAAGAUUUGCGAGUGAUGCUUUGUAACUAAAAGGUUGUGACUGAGUAUAGAAUUAGCUGAUGUUAAAAUACACGUUAAUUAAAAAAGGUGGCGCAAACUUAUCGCAGACUGUUAGAAGACAGCUUCUACUAUGACCAGGAUUCAAGAAUCUUGACCUACGCGAAGUUGUAAAGGAGACAACUACUUUAUAAAUGUGUUGGAAAUGCAAGGGAUGUAAUUAUUCAAUAAACCUAAUUAUUAAAAAAGAUGCCCAUAAUCUCAAAUUCAGAUAAAUUUCUUGCGAGAAAGGCAACAUGAAUAUUGAAGAGAUGGAUAUUAUUUUAGAUAAAAAUUCAACCUACAAGUCAUACCGUAAGCAACAAACAUAUAAUUUAAAAAAAAAAAAAGAUUGCUUGAAUUCCGGGAUUAAAUACAAUCAUAAAUUAUUGAUAAAAUGAUAUCUUUAAACGCACCAAAACUGGUACAAACCUUCAAGGGAAUUAUUUAUUUGAAUUCAAUUUUUACUAACAGUUUUUAGUCUUAUCCAAAACCCCAUCUUUCAUAAUAUGAGCACAAAUUAUCAUACUGAAUAAGAUUUGCAAUAACCCCAUAGAAAUACACAAAAUAUUGCGAUGAUUUACAGAAGUGCAAAAAUCCGAUGGUACGGAGAGAAUAGAGACCACCGGUGCGCAAAGGCGACCGAUCAUUAUUUUACUCACAUGGAAACGAACGACCGGUGCGAAAAUGGGUUGAUAACGAAAUUAAAAAUCGUUAACGACGUGCUGUUGCGUGUGUGGUAUUGAGCCCACGGGUGGGCUUGGUCUUAAAGCACUUCUCGUGUUUUGCGCGCUCGCAGGCUAUGGUGCUACCCUAGAAACCAUCCACCCAGUGAAGAACACAGUUUUCGCAGUUUUCCCCACACUUGGCGUUGUUGGCAUCGUGUUUUCCUCCGCGGGAGUCAACUUGGCACAAUGCAGUGGCCUAAAUGGGUGGAGCACACGCAAGGAUACCUCCAACCGGACCGGGCAAUACGAUACCUUAGGCGUAUUCCGCCGGUUUCACAACAUAAUCGUCGUAGAACGAUAGAAACUAUUUUUGGAGAAACGAAAACACAAAUAUUAGUCUUUCAUUCAAUCCGGAUGCUUUUUGUCUUUUCGCCAAGAGUGGAGAAGAAAAAAAAGCGAAAGCUCGUCUCCCAGUUAAGCAAAGGAAACCCAUUAGAUAGUAGGACGAAAAAUCGAUUCAUCAACUAUGUCACGGCAUCACACUAUCCUUUCCCCCAAAGCGUCAAUGGAGGCCAAACUUGACACGCGAUACAGAAAUAGAGCCCCAGGAGGCAGUCACUGUCAUUUGGAAGUGGCUGUGAUUGAUAAAGCUCUCCGACACCCUGAGCUACAGGAUACCCCCGGUGGACAAGUUGUGGUGCGACAGUUUAGAAUUUAUGCUUCAUUCUUUAGGAAUCGACGUGGGGAAAGCCUUUAACUUGCUUUGGAGGUAUAAAUGUUGAUUGGCCAUCAGCAUGGACCUGUCCCUCCUGCGGGUUUUCAACAGCUCGGGAAAAUGCCUACAUUCCAUGUAGUUGAGAUCUGAUCAGUGAGUAAUAUGACAUAUUCUAGCAGAUUUUAGGUAAGCUUUCGGGGCAUAUUUCUACAGAACCCUGCGAGCAAUUUAAAGAGAAAUUUAAUACACCAGAUAGAUAAUCCAAAACCGCUACACUGGACAAGUAGCUAGCGGAAGUACUGGAGUGUAUUCUGAUGGAAUUCUCAUAGGCAAUCCAAACUAUGAGAAGCUUCUACAUAAUACUAUGCUGCGAUACGUAAUACCCCUGAUCCAGUGAAUCUUCUGAAAGCUAACAUUUAAAUAUCAGUUUCGAUACGUCAUCUAAAGGGUUAGAACAUAGGACGUACAGGGACUAGAGUGUAUUAUUUGGUUGUAUAGAAUUAUGUUACAAGAUCAACUAGGCUUAUUGGAGCUCAUAAAAUAUUAACAGGAAUCUACAGCCGUUUUUUGCUAUUUUGAUUUUUUCGUAAUCCUAAGAACUGUAUCAACGGGAAACUCAAGAAACAUAAAAAAAUACUUACAGGAUUUCUUGCAAAUAUAGGAACUCCAUAAAGCUGAUGUUAUAUUCAGAACUAGAAGCUCGUGGUUAUAAUUAUUUCCAUCAUAUUAUCCUGUUAGAUGUACUGCAUCCACUGCAGUUUACUGAGUUUAUUAGAAUGAAGACACUCAUGAGAACCAUUGAUUAGUCUGGACUAUCCUAAAGAACUUUGGAUUAGUUCGUAAAAAUCUAAACAAGUAUUAUAGUUGGAUUAGUGACAUUACAUUCCAUAAUGCAAAUAACUACUGUAGCGACUAUAGAUAUCGAGGACUAAACUUCAGGGCAGGGAAUGUUGCUGAAAUUUUAGUCGGGAUUACCUUAAUAUUUCAUUCAGCAUUUACAAUGAACUUUUCCGAAAAUAUCUAUAAAUAUCCCCAGCAAGAAAAUAUUGUAAAUCGAUAAACUGUGUUACUCGUAUUAAACUAGGCAAUACAUUUUAUUUUAAACUCUUUAUUAUAGGGAAAUUCAGCCCGAGGCUGGUUCACGAAACAAAUAUUGAAGGCAUCCAGUCCCACAUUUGUGUGGGAAAUACACCGGAGAAUCACUUUGAAGAAUACGACAGAUUUUUUAAUAAAUUUGAAAUUGAGUUCUUUGACAAUAAUGACCAGGUACACCCCGUAGAGAUUUAUCUCCAAAAAGUGCACCGCAAGCCAAAAGGUCUGAGACCCCUGAUCUGUAUGAUAUGACUUGCUCUUCUGAGUAGUUUUGUUGGUCUGCAACAUCCCAGAAGACGCAAAAUCCCCAGAUGUCGAAGACUGUUACGACUGUAGACCAGAAGUUCUGUUCUGCGGAGUAAUAGUUUGAUUGGUCUGGAAAAUCCCAAAAGAACUUUGAAAUACGUCAUACAUCACCAAGGGGUCAUAGAUAAUAGUUGCAUGUAUUGCUACAUCGUAGCGAAAAUUACUAAUGUAACGGUUGCAGAUGUCAACUCCAGGACAGUUUGAACGACACUGAAUAUCCCAAAAGUAUGCAACAAUUUGUAUCAAUUUUAUAGUAAUUUUCAUUGGUUAUGAUAUACGUUACUCUUACUUAUGAAAUUACUGUUAUAGAUUUGAAGGACUGAAUUUCAGAACCACCUAGAACAUCCUAAGGUAUAAAAAACUGUUCCAUAUUAAUAAAGAUGACUAUUGAAAUACGUGUACAUGUCAACUAUAUGCAAAAUCAAUACUUAACGCUAUUGUUCCAAAACGCUUGAUGUAGGAUGUCGAUGUCAAUGAAAUCUCAAACCCAAUUUUACGUAUUUUUCUCUAAUGGACCUACUCAUCGUCCUUGCAAUAACUUUGUCGAAAACAGAAUUUCAAGCAGAAUUCAUGUCUAUCAAGUGGAAGAUUUUAUACAGGUAUUUUUCAUUUGAGGUUAUAUUUGACCCCUCGAAGGUAGGAGGGUUAAGGCAGGAAUCAAAUUAAGCAGUUAGUUAGUAGCUUGUUGACAUCACAUUUUACUUGUAUUGAUCGUUUAUGCCAUUUUGAGACACCCUUCAACGGUGAUCAGAAAUCUGAUGGAAUCGAUGCCUCGACAAAAUACUGUACACUCAAUUUUGCCGCUAAUGAAUAAGUGUUUUUGUUUUAUUUUAUUUACCUACUUCCUGUGAUUUUAGUAUUGUUUUAAAUUUUAUUUCAUAUUCAAGUAAACGAAAAAGAAUUAUGUUUUAACAGUUAUAAAAUUUGUUUUAUUUUUUAUUUUUUAACUCCUUUAUGCAAAAAAAUAAAUAAAAAAUACCAUCAUUACCAUAUAAUGUGUUACGUUCAAUUUUGCGGUUGACUGUACAAACGAAAGACCGAAUAAUUUAGACCGAGAAGCAGCUGAUCCAAGCAAAGGAUGUAGAGGAGGUUUCCGGGAAUCUGAGACAUUUGGAAUUCCAUGGACUACGUUGGCAGAUCAUGUUACCGGAAAAAUGGUGAAAUCAAAACUGGGAUUCAACAGCAAACGGUUUCACACUGGAACAGGGAGUAGAAUUUGUGCAGCAUCCUUUCAUUCAUUAGUACUUUAUUAUAUUCAUCAGGUCACCUGCUGGAUUUUUUUCACAGCAUUUCUACAGAUAUUCUGAAUGGAAGUUUCCAGGGAUUCCUUUAAAGAUCCUUCGGAGAAUUCCUCCAGACAUGUUUUCAAAGAAUUCCUCCUGUGAUUUCUCCAAUCCCUAUUGGAAUUCAUACAGUUAUUGAUACUAGGGUAAAAUGCUCCAUGAGUUAAGAAUGAAUUCUUUCUGAAAUUUCUGCCUAUAGAUUCCUCCAGCAAUUUUUCCUAAGAUUCUUUUGAUAAAUCCUGUUUCAACUUUUCCAGGAAUUUCUCAAAGAAUUCAUUCAGGAAAUCCUCCCUAGAUUUGUUAUCUUGGAUUUUUCCUGCCAUUGUUUUAGAAAUUAUGCCUGGGAUUCCUCUAGUGAUUCCUGCUAUAUUUUCUCCUAGAGUUCUUGUUGAGACUCCUUCUAGAAUGCCUGCAGAAAGUCCUCAUAUUAUUAUUUCAAGAAUUUCUCCGAAUAUAUUUCCAGAGAUUGAAUCUCUGGAUUACUCCACGAACCAUGUUGCCCAUCAGAAUGAACAUAUUUUGACACUCCCAACGACCAAAUCUUCGAUCAAUUCUGACUAUACAUGUCAAUGGUUGCCUCUCCGUGAUUGAUCUGAGCUGGUACCAAUUGCACUGAGAUCUAACUGAAUAAGGGACUGGGACACUCCGCUUAUUCUCAAAGUGCAAUUUGAGCAGCUCAUACAUUUUUGAUCAAUAACGGCGCCGGCCAAGUCCUUAUAGUCAGCAGGGAAGGAAUGUUAGUGUAUUGGUUGUUGCUACUAGAGACCGAGAGCACUUUGCGUCCCCACAACCCCGCACGGUUGUUAGAUGGUAAGGAUGGGAGAUCUGGGAGUCAUCGUUGGGUUGGUGAUGCGAUCCAAUGGAUAGGGAUUAUUUUUAUAGUAUUCGUAAGGUGAUAGGAUUGUGCGAUGAACACUAUAUGAGGGUCAAGCGGCACAGUUCGCUUUACAGUUGCAUAACUUGUAGGCGUUACAUACACUGUGCUGUAAAAGUUGGAAGGAAGGGAAACGACUUUAUUUUUAAAUUUGUUUCUGGUUCUAGCGAUGGCUAUGAACAUAUGAAUAUACAUGAGUUGUAUAUGUAAUGAAGGGAGAGAGAAAGUAGAUAGAAAAAUACAAAGUAAGAGGAAAGGGACGGGCCAGGGAUUGAACCUAUUACCUUUUGCAUACUAAUCAGAAGCGGUAGCCACUAGACCACCAAGCCCGCCUCUUUGACACUUCUGACGCAUACAUCUUAUAGAAAAACACCUAAUCAAAGAUUCUGCGCAGUAAAAAUUUAAAUUAAGGUCUUACAAUAUUUUUACAAUUCAGUAACAAAACGACGUAUAAUCAAUGGUGUAGCAUUGAUUAUACGUCGUUUUCAAAAUUUGUUACUGAAUUAUCCUUAUGAUUAAGGUGAAGAGAUUAUCCCUUCAUCCCCUACUGCUCAGUGGAGCUGUCUACACGUAAUAUGUAGUUUGUAUUCGUAUCUAAAAUUUCUGACCAAAGCUUACCGCUAUUUGUCUCAUAGUGCUUGCCAAUCGGAUAUGUUUAGUCUAUCUUCAGGCGAAAGCCAAACUGACUCAGAUUACUCGCAGCAAUAUUAGCGGCAAACAAAUGUAUGCAUCAGGUAUCUCUCAUAAUGUGUAGUCAGUUUUGUGAUUUAUACGUAAUUCUAAGAAUAGAGAUUCCACAUUCACGAAUACCACAAACGACAACCUUGAAAUGUUGCGAUUUUAACAGCGGAAUACAUUGAAGGCAUCAUAAGAAAUUUUCAAGUGUUCAAGUGGAGACAUUCGACUCACCUGAUACGAUAAGAGCCUCGUUUGGUCCAACGGUGUGUAUGUUGCCCAUGUUGUUGCUGAUCGUUGACGACGAUGAUGAUGUUGAAGAUGAGGUGUCCUACAAGCUAAAAUAAUCCUUUUUAUUGAGCGCACUGACGGGACCCGAGCAGGGUGUUAAGAUCACUUCUUUUUGUGUACACGAAAUUUCCGCUAAUUAAGUUCCGCACUAAUAUUCACUCCACGCCCCGCAAUACUAUGUAGUAAGCAUUGAGUGUGAGUUAGAUUCCAGUGAUAGAAGCAAUAAGCAUUUUUGAGAAUGUGCUGCUGUCUGACUCCGUAUUCAAUCGAUCGGUCUGAUCUAGUCGUCUUUGGAACAAAGCUGUCAUAAAUUUAUGAAAAUGUAAAAAUUUGAGAUUUUUCUAUUGAAAAAUAAUGCUUUAUGAAUAAUGUAUGAAUGAAACAAACAACUUUA